GUCGAGAAUAAUUCACAAUGGACGAAAGUCUGAUGGUGCAACGCCGCGUGGAGGAUGACGGUCUUCGGAUUGUAAACUCCUGUCAUCCGGGAGUAAGACCUGGCUGUGAAUAGCAGACAGGGUUGAUAGUACCGGAAGAGGAAGGGACGGCUAACUUCGUGCCAGCAGCCGCGGUAAUACGAAGGUCCCGAGCGUUGUUCGGAAUCACUGGGCGUAAAGGGAGCGUAGGCGGCGUGGUAAGUCAGAUGUGAAAUCCCGGGGCUCAACCCCGGAACUGCAUCCGAUACUGCCGUGCUAGAGGAUUGGAGAGGUAGCUGGAAUUCUUGGUGUAGCAGUGAAAUGCGUGGAGAUCAAGAGGAACACUCGUGGCGAAAGCGAGCUACUGGACAAUAUCUGACGCUGAGGCUCGAAGGCCAGGGUAGCGAAAGGGAUUAGAUACCCCUGUAGUCC
rnacentral:rRNA from 1 species